rnacentral:tRNA from 1 species
AUUUAUAUAAUAUAAAAAUUAUAGUUGACUUCCAAUCAAACAAUCUAAUAAAAAUUAGUAUAAAUA